rnacentral:rRNA from 1 species
GUCUGGUGCCAGCAGCCGCGGUAAUUCCAGCUCCAAUAGCGUAUAUUAAAGUUGUUGCAGUUAAAAAGCUCGUAGUUGAAUUUCGGGAUCAAUAUUUCGGUCAUGCCGUUGGUAUGCACUGUUAUCAUUGAUUUCUCACCUUCUAAAGAACCGUAAUGCCAUUAAUUUGGUGUUACGGGGAAUUAGGACUGUUACCUUGAAAAAAUUAGAGUGUUUAAAGCAGGCUCACGCUUGAAUACAUUAGCAUGGAAUAAUGAAAUAGAACAUCCGAUUCUAUUUUGUUGGUUUCUAGGAUCGAUGUAAUGAUUAAUAGGGAUAGUUGGGGGCAUUAGUAUUCAAUUGUCAGAGGUGAAAUUCUUGGAUUUAUUGAAGACUAACUACUGCGAAAGCAUUUGCCAAGGAUGUUUUCAUUAAUCAAGAACGAAAGUUAGGGGAUCGAAGACGAUCAGAUACCGUCGUAGUCUUAACCAUAAACUAUGCCGACUAGGGAUCGGAUGAUGUUAAUUUUUUAAUGACUCAUUCGGCGCCUUACGGGAAA